UAUAUAUAGUUUUAUUAGAUUAUAUGCAAUGCAAGCAAUAACAAAAUUUGUUUACUUAUGUUACGUCUGGUUUGGGCAUAAAUAAGAACUGUCUAUUCUAGUGAUAGAUACAAGUUCAGGUAUAAGCAGGAAUUAGAUCAAUUUUACGUUUGUAUGAAAAUUAGGUUGUUUCUGUGAAUAAGGUAAAUAGUGUUUGGAUGGUUAUAUUGGAAUAAGGGGAGACAAGAGUUAUAAUUUUAAAUUAAAAAUAUUUUAUCUAAUUAAUUAACAUCAAAAUAUUAAUUCAAACUAAUUUAAUAAAUUAAUAAAUUUAUUAGCUUGUUCCAGA
rnacentral:lncRNA from 1 species